GACGAACGCUGGCGGCGUGCUUAACACAUGCAAGUCGAACGAUGAAGCCCAGCUUGCUGGGUGGAAGAGUGGCGAACGGGUGAGUAACACGUGAGUAACCUGCCCCUGACUCUGGGAUAAGCGCUAGAAAUGGCGUCUAAUACUGGAUAUGACCUAUCACCGCAUGGUGUGUAGGUGGAAAGAUUUAUCGGUUGGGGAUGGACUCGCGGCCUAUCAGCUUGUUGGUGAGGUAAUGGCUCACCAAGGCGACGACGGGUAGCCGGCCUGAGAGGGAGACCGGCCACACUGGGACUGAGACACGGCCCAGACUCCUACGGGAGGCAGCAGUGGGGAAUAUUGCACAAUGGGCGCAAGCCUGAUGCAGCAACGCCGCGUGAGGGAUGACGGCCUUCGGGUUGUAACCUCUUUUAGUAGGGAAGAAGCGCAAGUGACGGUACCUGCAGAAAAAGCACCGGCUAGCUACGUGCCAGCCGCCGCCGUAA
rnacentral:rRNA from 1 species